rnacentral:tRNA from 1 species
GUCCCCGUAGUUCAACGGAUAGGACACUUCCCUCCGAAGGAAGAGACCGUGGUUCGACUCCACGCGGGGACACCA